rnacentral:tRNA from 1 species
GAUAUGUGCCUGAAAGAUAAGGCCUACCUUGAUAGGGUAAUAAAUAGAGGUUCAAACCCUCUCAU